rnacentral:lncRNA from 9 species
GGCUCCUGUUCCUCUGCUUCGAACUGACCAUGAACCAGCCCUUCACUGUUAAUUCGUGUCUACGUGUUUUCUGAUGGACUGGCUGUUGGUUUUAUUGGUCUCCUUCCCCAAGAAAAUACAAUCUGCUUGAUAUUGGGGUCAUUGUCCUUGGCUCCGGCUGACCUGUUUGGACUGACCUGUGGUUGCUCAAUAUUGUAAAUGAGGACUGUGCCCACCAGCCCUCUUCCUGUUCCCAAAUGCCUUUUCUUUCUUUCUUUCUCUCUUUCUCUCCUUCUCUCCUUCUCUCUUUCUUUUCUUUCCCUCUUUUUAGGGCUGCUCCCAAGUCACAUAUAUGGAAGUUCCCAGGCUAGGGGUCAAAUCAGAGAUGCAGCUGCCAGCCUACGCCACAGCCACAGCCACGCCAGAUCCGAGCGGCAUCUGUGACCUACACCACAGCUCACAGCAACCCUGGAUUCUUAACCCACUGAGCGAGGCCAGGGAUCGAACCCCUGCAUCCUCAUGGAUACCAGUCAGGUUCAUUACCACUGAGCCGUGGUGGGAUCUCCCCCAGAUAUCUUUUCUGCUCCACCCGGGAAAGGGAACAGGGAUAAUCUAGGGAGAGAUCAAACUUCCAGUCAUAAUCACGCCAUUGAUUUGCUUGGAUUUAAGGACCUGGGGUGAACUGUGUCCUCCCCCCUCAAAAGACAGGAUGAAGCCCCCCGGCCCCAAGAGCAACCUCCAUUGGCAGCGGGGUCAUUGCUGAUGUGACUGGUUAAGGGGCAGGAGGAGAGUGAGCCCUGAUGAGCCCUGAAGGAGGCGCCUGUGCAGACGGACAAGGAGGAGCCCCUCGCAGACCCCAGCGGAGACCGAGGUCAGGAAGGGCGGGGCACAGGGCGGCUGGGGCUUCUGGAAGCUGAAAGCGGCAAGAGGUUCUCGGGCAGGCUUCAGAGGGAGCCCCGCCUUCCUGAAGCCUUGAUCUUGGACAGUAAGAGAAUAGACCUCUGCUGUUUCACCCCACUCCCCAGCCCCAAAUCCCCCAUCCUCACAGCAAGAAUCCCAGUGUCUUACUUAAAGAAGACAAGGCGUGAAAGCAUUCAAAUGAAGACCUUCGUUAACUUUUUGUACAUACUGCACUACGCUUCGUCUUUAAAGGUCAGACAGUUUGCUUCAGAAAACAAAGAGAGAUUGAGCCUUGCAACAGUUUCGUGGCCACCUUGGCCCAGUUUUCUCAUCGUUAAAACAUCGCCGGGACUCGACGGCUGGCCUUCACGCCCCCCACACAGCCCAGCCGCUCACACCCCAUCAUCCGUGUUUGAUUUUUACCCCAUCUGCAUCCAGCGAGGAUGUGAGGCCGUGGCAUCAAAACAGCAUCAGGUUUUACGCCUUCCUAGCCCGGGAAGCCUGCAAAGACGAGACAGUAAAAUAUGUGCUAAUAAAUGGUUCUGCGUCUACUGCCUGCUGCAAGGGUGAUCAAUUUUUGUGACUCGUGUAUGAAGAUGUAUCUCUCUAAUACCGGGGACUCGGCUUCUUUAUUUAUUUCAUCAAUUUCGUUCUUUUGUUUUCCCGGCGAUUUCUAGGAAUGAUGAACGGAUGGCGGUUUAGCACAAACUGUGAACCUGCGCCCCCCCAACCCCCACCCCCACGCCCCGCCGCCUCUUGGCUCCCCGGGUGCAGCUUAGAGAGUCAUGGAUGGUGGAGGGUGUGUGCUGGUUCUCUCCGCCGUCUGUCUCUCUGACUCCAGGCGGCACUCUGGUUCUCGACGGGCUGCAGGGGACACAUCAGUUUUUGGUGACUCGGGAGGAGAGCACCACUCAGGGCCAGCAGGUCUGCUCUCCAGCCCUGCUCUGUCAUUGAGCAAGACGGCGAAGCUGGGAAUUGAGAUGCUGCCCUGAGCAGGUGGGGCAUCCCCCACCUGAUUCUCUCCUUUCCAGCUCAUUCCUCAAAGGCACGUUCAAAUCCAUUGCCGCUUAUCACUUCAUAUACUUUUUGCUUCACUGUUCGACUAAUUAACCAAAUGAUAAGUUGAUGUGAUAUCUUAUAGUUUAUAAAUCACGUCACUUUGAAAUAACUAUCUUUUCUUUCUUUCUUUUUCUUUUUUUGGCCACCCCAUGGCCAGGGAUCCGAUCUGCACUGCAGGUGGGACCUACCCCACAGUGGCAACGGCAGAUCCUUCAACCGCUGUGCUGGGCCGGGCAGAGAACCUGUGUCCCGGCGCUGCAGAGACCCGAACGAUCCCAUUGCACCACAGCAGGAACGCCAACAGUAGGAAAACCACCCCAUUUCUCCCAGGUGGCCCCCUCAGGACCUGGAAAAGCUUUUCCCUAAGGGCUCACACCUUCUUUCCUCUGUUCCCCCUCCCCGUGACACAUGCACCUGCAGGCUGAUUCCUUUGCAUCCCCCUUGGGACCUAGCCUAAAUGCGGCCCGGGGACACUCGCUGGCCAACCCGUCAGGGUGGGGAGGGCCUGGGGGCCAGGAUGCAAAGAGGAGUCUCCCGUGCUUAUUUCCUGCAGGAGACAAGCUUGCUGGGUGUUAAGUGGGAAAUUCACCUCAGUGAUCUGUCUUUUCAUCUGUCAGAUGAUUAGCAACAGGCCCUAUGCUCUCAGAUGAAGGGCUCACGGGACCCUGGGAAGCUGCGUUUGUCUCCUUUGGAGAAAGAAGGGCUGAGGGUGGGACUUAGGUGGCAGAGGGUGUGGCCAUAACCUUUCCCCAGAUGGGAUGGGACGGGGGAACCAGAAAGGGAGGGGGCAGUCCAUGUCCUUUUCUUGGAUCAAAAUGGCAAAACAUGGGAUUUCAUUCUUCCCUCCCUUUUCUCCAAAAUCAACGGAUUUUACAGCCUAUUCUCAAUCGAUUCUACUAAACAGAAUGUGCAGAUUAAAAGUGAAAAAGGCAGAGAGCCGGUGACCCGGCUUCGGGUUGAGUCACCUUUGGUUUCUUCUUUCAAUCUGGAAGUCCUUUACCUCCCAGUAUUCAUCGUAAUGGCUGGUUUCAAAUACGUCUUUCUUUAGUCUCUCAAGGAAAGUGCUCAGCAUUUUUGGUCGUGACUGGGUUGGGCAUCUUGUGGCCUCGGGACUCGUAUCCAGUUGGGGGUGGGGACAACCUGGGUGCCAGCCUGGCCUUGUAGCAGCAGCUCCAUCCUUACCACCUCGUGUGAGGUGUUGAUUUAAUGGGUCCAGGCAGAAAUCGGCCAGAUGAAUAAAAAAUUGAACCAGGAUCAGGGACAAGGCCAAGGAGAAGCAUCUGACAGCACCAGGGGGUCUUAUGAUCCACGAGGAACUUCAAAGCCAUCUGUCAUUACAGGGUAUCAAACUAAUUUUUUCUUUCGUGAACAGGUGUAUAUGUCCUGCAUAACUGGGAGAACUAAAUUUCACCUCUCGUGUUCCCUUUUCAUAGGUACAGCUAAGUAGAUAUUUCGACUGGAUAAGUUGUGGGCACGAGCGGGUAUGAAGAUUAUAAAUUAAUACCGUAAGAUGAAGCUCUCCAUCCUGCAUCCUGCAGAGGCGUCCUGCGGCUCCUGCAGGUGAAGAAGAAAGACAGAAGGCAGGCAGAGGACAUGGGGAGAGGGCCAUAGGGUCCUGUUCCAUUUCAAGAAGAGAGAGAGAAACUUCUAUUAUAAUUAUUGUCUUAAGGUUAUGGAGCUUCAUUGUAAAACAAAAGCAGCAUAUCCUGUACUUUUUCAGAAAAUCAUAACUGUGUUAUCACCCGAAGUAGAACCAUUUAGUUUAUACAUAUUGAGAUGGUGUCAUUAUCAGAUGUCAUCUGGAAGCCCUAAAAUGGCUUUUAAAACCAUCUCUUUGGUUUGUAAUAAAAGUCCAGCAUGUCUGGGUAUCACGUCCCCAUGGUACAUGGGGUUGUUGUCUUCAGAACUGGUUAUCUGCCCUGACGUGAUGGUUCUCAGAUGAAGAGGCAAUGGCAUUUCACCAGAGGAUGCAGUCUUGCCCAAAGGCUCUUUAUGUAUCAAAUAUCAACUUGAUUUGCCUAAUACAGACUUUCUUUGCAAACACGUCCACCUGGCCCUCGAUGAAGAGUUUAAUGAUUCUGACUCCAACUAGCAAAGCUGCUACAAGACAAACAGCCCUUAUUUCCUAAAGACUGAGUCCCAAGGCUAAGCAGCCACCCUGGGACCGAACCUGGAGGGCAGAGCACAGUUUGUGACUCGAAUAAUUUCUUUUUCCUUCUGCCAUGGGUGUUAGCCACCAGUCUUCAGCUCAGACACUAGACUUGGAUGUUACAGAAUAUUGGUGAUGCUGUAAUUAUCAGAAGAGCCGGUUCCCUCCUUGUGAAGAGAGCUGAGUGGAAGACGGGGGGCACUUCCAGGGACCCUGGGCAGCCCUGAUUUAUCCGAUUCAUGGGUCGACCUCUGCUUAGCUAUAUUUGUUGUUCAUAAGUAAGCAUGUCUUUUUGUUUAUUUUUUGGCCUUUAUUUUUUUUAAUGAAAAUAUUUUUAUUAUAGGAGUUCCCAUCAUGGCCCAGUGGUUACUGAAUCCGACUAAUAUUCAUGAGGAUGUGGGUUCAACCCCUGGCCUCACUCAGUGGCUCGAGGAUCCGGUGUUGCCAUGAGCUGUGGUGUAGGUUUCAGAUGUAGCUUGGAUCCUGCGUUGCUGUGGCUGUGGUAUAGGUCGGCUGCUACAGCUGCAAUUCAACCCCUAGCCUGGGAACCUCCAUAUGCCACAGGUACUGCCCUAAAAAGACAAAAGACAAAAAAAAAUUAUUAUAGUGGAUUUGAAAUGUUCUGUCAAUUUCUGCUGUACAGCAAAGUGACCCAGUUAUACACAUAUGCGCACACACACACACACACACACAUAUAUACACAUUCUCUCUUUGUCUCACGUUACCUUCUAUCACGUUCUGUCACAGUGAUUGGAUAGAGUUCCCUGGGCUGUACAGCAGGACCUCAUUGUUUAUCUAGUCUAAAUAUAAUAGUUUGCAUCUACUAACCCCAAACUCCCAGUCCAUCCCACUCCCUCCCCCUCCCCCUUGGCAACCACUAGUCUUUUCUCCACGUCCUGAAUUUGUUUCUGUUCUGUAGGUAGGUUCAUUGGUGCCAUAGUUUAGAUUCCAGAUAUAAGUGAGACCAUAUGGAAUUUGUCUUUUUCUUUCUGACUUACUUCACUUAGUAUGAGACUCUCUAGUUGCAUCCAUCUUGCUGCAAAUGGCAUUAUUUUGUUCUUUUUUAUGGCUGAGUCGUAUUCCAUUGUGCAUAUGAACCACGUAUUUUAAUCCAUUCAUCUCUUGAUCGACAUUUCGGUUGUUUCCAAGUCUUGGCUAUUGUGAAUAGUGCUGCUAUGAACAUAGGGGUGCAUGCAUCUUUUUGAAUGAAAGUUUUUCCAGGAUGUACACCCAGGAGUGGGAUUGCUGGAUCAUAUGAUAGUUCUAUAUUUAGUUUUCGGAAGUAUCUCCACACUGUUUUCCAUACUAGGUGUACCAAUUUAUAAGUAAACAUUUCAGUACCCCUUGACUGGAUGAUUUUAAAGGUUUCUCCCAGGCCUUAUGCUUUUAUAAUUCUGCUCCCCUAGAUCUAGGGACUUUGAAGGACCAGUCAUUUUCUAUUCCUAGCUUCAGGCUUUGCUGAAUCUCUUCUCCAGCCAACCCCCAUCUAAGAAUCACCUAUUGGGAGGCAUUUGGAUGGAGAUAUUACAAGAAAGACAUGUUUUUGUAGCAAUUGUGUUUCCCAAUACACUAACCCAAAGCAUUAAAAAAAAAAAAAUUCUUUGGACUCGGUUGAAUCCAACCCCCCCUCCCAGCUCAGGACCAUCUUCCAAGAGUUCAACAUGCUUUUUAGUCUUGCGUCUCUGCAAAUGCGGAGAAUAACUGUCUUUAAAUAGUGGCUGAUCUUCGUCUCAUUAAUUUCCUGCUCCGAAAACCGAGAUGCCUUGUAAUUAUCCAGCUGUAGGAACACAUAGGAUGGUACUAAAUUUUGUUUAAGUACAGUCUAUUUUGAAAACGGAAGCCAAAGUCUAUAAUUAGCUUGGCAUUAACGUUUGAGAGCUGUGCUAUCUGGGAGGCUGCGGUGGCCGGGACCCUGGCGGAGGGCAGGCUGUCUGGGGAAGGCAGCAGAAAGCCUUAUCUCGGAGGGCGUCCUCCGGUGUGUAGGACUCCACGUGGCCGCCUUUGCCCGAAGAAGCCAGCGCCCCUGUCUUAGGAGCAAGCGUCGGCACAGGUACAUGAAAGCGAGGGCUAAUCAGAUUGCCUGUUCCCGAAUGACCCAGUGCGAGAAAAUAGUCCAUCUUUGCCCAUUUACCUGAAUAAACAUCCGGUGCUUCUUCCCCUAAUGAGGGCCAAGAGAACCCAGCAGACAGUCAGGGAAAAGUGCUUGCCUCGACCUGUGGUCUGGCUGUAAUUGGGAUGAAAAGUCACUGCUGAUUUCCUGACAAGCUGUUGUUUCUAUUUCCAGCCCUGAUUUUUAAAACCUCCCCAGGGUGGCUGUUGUCUGGCUCAUGCUGACACUGGGGCAAGAAGAAAGUAAACAUUUUCUGCU